rnacentral:rRNA from 1 species
UACAGAGGUCCCAAGCGUUGUUCGGAUUCAUUGGGCGUAAAGGGUGCGUAGGCGGCGCGGUAAGUCGGGUGUGAAAUCUCGGGGCUUAACUCCGAAACUGCAUUCGAUACUGCCGUGCUUGAGGACUGGAGAGGAGACUGGAAUUUACGGUGUAGCGGUGAAAUGCGUAGAUAUCGGGAGGAACACCUGUGGCGAAAGCGGCUCACUGGACCACAACUGACGCUGAGGCGCGAAAGCUAGGGGAGCAAACAGG